AACGGAUUUGGGUUCUAAUGCAUGGUUUUUUAGAAAAAGAGUUUUAUUGGAUUUAUAUGUAUAUUUAUAUGCGGUUAUAGUGUGGAAUGCAAAGAGGGUUGGUUACGUCGUAAAUCGAUGACCAAAUCGGACAAAACGAAAUGCUAGAUUCAAUGCCCCAGUCGUACUGAACGCGCUGGCGUGAUCCGAUCGAAAAUCUGACUGACAGAUCUUCAGAAAACGUGAAAAGUUCGCUGAAGGGUCGAAAUUAGCAAAAACGGAAAAUUCGUAAAAGG
rnacentral:lncRNA from 1 species